rnacentral:lncRNA from 1 species
UUUGCAGCGCUAGACAUGUCUUUGCUCUUCUUUAUAAAUAAUGCUCAACAGAAACACAAUAACCUGCAGUAAGAGCAAAUCAAUAGGGUUAAUGACACGCCAGUCGGUCAAUAUACUGUAAAGGUAACCACCACCAAUCAAGCAUUCUUCUAAUUGACAGGGGAGAUGGAAAGUCCAUCUUUUCACUUGAGUUCAACAAUUUUGAAGUCAAUGUGUAUCAUCUGCUGAUUAGACAAAAGCUUUCAAGUUUCACCAGAUUGCUCUACACCAUACUAGCAGCUUGCAUUCAAUCUCCAUAUCAAUUAAACUUGCUAUUCAAACUUCCGUAAUGUCAUCGAUGAAGAUCAUUAGCCAUUCACAACCACUUCGAUCUUAACCAAGUUCCAACGUCAGCAAAAAAUUAACCAUUUGGUAAUCUAAUCCCAGAUGAACAUUUUUUUGUGGCAUCCCAACAUUUGCUCUCUAACUGUCCACAAAGAUACAAACACAAUAAAAUCAUCGGGAAGAAGCUUGUAAAGUACUAACGUCCAUGCAUUCAAGUGGAACCGUAAUGUAGCAAAAUCUCCCUAAUGCACCAGAAAAUUUCACUACCUCACAGGAUCAUCAAAUCAUGAUACUUAAGUUUUCAGUUUCUUCUGGAAAUCAACACAUUAUGAUCAAAUCAAAAAUCGAAACAUUAGAAAGCUCAAACAUAAGAAGACAAUCCAUAAGCCAACAAUUUGAGCUAGAGCCAAUCAAACAAAGCCAUUCAAGGGGAGAAAAGAAUACUACAUCUUUUUUCCAAGUAACAGGCAGCAAAACGACAAAAAAACGAACUUUUUUCAUCAGAUCAAGGCUCAGAUCACCCUAUAAGCCAAAAUAUCCCACGAUUAUAAGUAGAAGAUCGCGAAUAUCCAGAUCAGGAAAAACGCACCCAGACCUCCAAAAGAGCUGGAAGAUAACAGAGAUCUGACCGGAAUCACAAAUCCAGCAAUUUGAAACACAGCAAGUAAAAGGGGAGGAAAGAACGAACGUACCCAGAAAAAAAACGAAAGAAGUUUCAGAAGGGAAUUGACGACGAUGAUUAAAACGAUGAUGAGGCGUUGUGGGGGAAGGGAGGAAAGGGAAAAGCAGAGAUGGAAAUAUUCAAGGGUGGCAGAGCUGGCAAUAAAGGGGGGGGAAAGGAAGAGAUGGGUGUACUGUGAAAGCCUGAAAGGGGCAAAUUAAAGGGUGGAAAUGGGCAGAGAAAAAGGGUAUUGAAUUAUUGCUGGUGGAAUGUGAGCUGAGGGAAGAAGAGGUAUGAAGAAGAAGAGGGAAAUAAUAUUUGUGAUGAUGAUUAUGUUGCAGAAGGAAAGAUGGAAUUUUU